UUUUUCCUUUUUUCCUUUUUUCUUCUCUCUUUUUUCAUUUUCAUUUUGGCUUUGAUUUUGAUUUUGAUUUUUCUUCUUUUUGUUUUUGAUCUUUUUUUGGAUUGGAUCUGAACCCAUAGGAUUAGGCAAGUCCUUGUUAUCAUUGUUUCGACCAGAAUCAAUGUUUUUAUAGAUAAAGUCUUCACCUAUGAUCUUUCACUUUUAUCUUGUAUGCGAAAAACCUUCUUUGGUAUCAGAUUUCUUUCAUAGAGCCUUUUGGGGGCG
rnacentral:lncRNA from 1 species